ACUGAACGCUGGCGGCAUGCCUUACACAUGCAAGUCGAACGGUAAGGCCCUUCGGGGUACACGAGUGGCGAACGGGUGAGUAACACGUGGGUGAUCUGCCCUGCACUUCGGGAUAAGCCUGGGAAACUGGGUCUAAUACCGGAUAGGACCACUGCCUGCAUGGGUGGUGGUGGAAAGCUUUUGCGGUGUGGGAUGGGCCCGCGGCCUAUCAGCUUGUUGGUGGGGUGAUGGCCUACCAAGGCGACGACGGGUAGCCGGCCUGAGAGGGUGACCGGCCACACUGGGACUGAGAUACGGCCCAGACUCCUACGGGAGGCAGCAGUGGGGAAUAUUGCACAAUGGGCGCAAGCCUGAUGCAGCGACGCCGCGUGAGGGAUGACGGCCUUCGGGUUGUAAACCUCUUUCAGCACCGACGAAGCGCAAGUGACGGUAGGUGCAGAAGAAGGACCGGCCAACUACGUGCCAGCCGCCGCUGUAA
rnacentral:rRNA from 1 species